rnacentral:rRNA from 1 species
CACGUAGGGGGCAAGCGUUGUCCGGAUUUAUUGGGCGUAAAGAGCUCGUAGGCGGUUCGGCAAGUCGGGUGUGAAACCCCCAGGCUCAACCUGGGGACGCCACCCGAUACUGCUGUGACUUGAGUCCGGUAGGGGAGCGUGGAAUUCCUGGUGUAGCGGUGAAAUGCGCAGAUAUCAGGAGGAACACCUGCGGCGAAGGCGGGUUGCUGGGCUGACACUGACGCUGAAGUGCGAAAGCUAGGGGAGCGAACGGG